rnacentral:lncRNA from 1 species
UAGCUUUUACCCGGUUAAAGGUUUAUCGUAUCCACAGGGAAACGGAAGAACUGAUCUACGCUCUAACUUAACCAAGAUAAGUAAAUAGGUGUAAAUAGGAAAGAUGGUAGAAUCGAAUAAGAACAAUAUUAAAGGUAAGAUAACAGUGAGUGAUAAUAUGGGAAUAGAGAAUAGAGCAAUUCUAGUAUAUGGGCGAUGGUAGCAAAAUAGAGAGGAUAACUAUGGUUUCUCUACUUCAAAGGGGUAUGUCUAUGUCUGGGACGAACCACGUGAUAAGAGUACACCACAAAGGAUGCUUAUCAUUAGGCCGAUAAACCCUACCCG